UACGGAGGGUGCAAGCGUUGUCCGGAAUUAUUGGGCGUAAAGAGCUCGUAGGCGGUCUGUUGCGUCGGCUGUGAAAACCCGGGGCUCAACUCCGGGCCUGCAGCCGAUACGGGCAGACUAGAGUUCGGCAGGGGAGACUGGAAUUCCUGGUGUAGCGGUGAAAUGCGCAGAUAUCAGGAGGAACACCGGUGGCGAAGGGGGGUCUCUGGGCCGUAACUGACGCUGAGGAGCGAAAGCGUGGGGAGCGAACAGG
rnacentral:rRNA from 1 species